rnacentral:rRNA from 1 species
GAUGAACGCUGGCGGCGUGCCUAAUACAUGCAAGUCGAGCGAACGGACGAGAAGCUUGCUUCCCUGAUGUUAGCGGCGGACGGGUGAGUAACACGUGGAUAACCUACCUAUAAGACUGGGAUAACUUCGGGAAACCGGAGCUAAUACCGGAUGAUAUUUUGAACCGCAUGGUUCAAAAGUGAAUGACGGUCUUGCUGUCACUUAUAGAUGGAUCCGCGCUGCAUUAGCUAGUUGGUAAGGUAACGGCUUACCAAGGCAACGAUGCGUAGCCGACCUGAGAGGGUGAUCAGCCACACUGGAACUGAGACACGGUCCAGACUCCUACGGGAGGCAGCAGUAGGGAAUCUUCCGCAAUGGGCGAAAGCCUGACGGAGCAACGCCGCGUGAGUGAUGAAGGUCUUCGGAUCGUAAAACUCUGUUAUUAGGGAAGAACAUAUGUGUAAGUAACUGUGCACAUCUUGACGGUACCUAAUCAGAAAGCCACGGCUAACUACGUG